ACGUAAAAAUGGAGGAGUUGAGAGAGAGCGAUGAACAAGGACAUGUGAAGCGUGUUGUCUGCUGUAAGGUGAAACACAAACUGUUAAGUUAAUGUCAACACCAUUUUUAGUGAAAGUGUUUGACCAGGACUCUUACAGAAACUUUAAUGGUGAUAGUUCUGUCACUUUUGAGCGAACUGCUCAGCACAAGAAGACAGAAAGAAGUUUAGUUUAGCUGCUGACUUAGUGGCUAGUGCUUUUGUAUGGACUUUGCUAACAAACUAGCGACCAGCGAACUCGACUAGUAAAGCCUGUGUGGAACAACGACGACGACGACGAACACAAAGACCCCGACGGAGCCGGAUAGCGUUGCCGAAUGGUGGACUUUGCCAAGAUCGUCAGCUGCGUGAGUCUUCUCUUCAGCCCUGUGAAUAUUCUCUUCGUCCACGUGCUUUUUCUCGUCAUCUUUCCUCCUACUCCUGCCGCCUUGGAACCUGCGCGUGUGAGGCUACAUUCCAUUGAGUAAAGAUUGUAUGCCCUGGGUGUACGCUUUCAGAAGAUACAGUUCUUCCAGAGUAUUUCCGGUUUUGACCCCUGCCUGCUUCCCUGGACUCUUCUUUGCUUGUUGGAUAUUUGUACCUCUGCCUUCUUGGACUGACCCCCUGAUUUUUGACCCUGGC